rnacentral:lncRNA from 1 species
CGGUGAGAUUGCAACAGCACGGAGGGGCUGGUGGCCUGCUUUGCUGAGAAGACCCCCAAGGGGAAGGUGACUUCUUUUUCUUUCUAAAAAGGGUGAAAUGGCUCAACACACACCAUGGUGGCUGAGUACUGUCCUGCCCUCUCCUGGGCUCAAGUGCAGAGGUGAGAGAGGGAAGCUUACGGCCUGCUCUGUGAGGCCAGGCAUCAGAGCAGGCAGAGGUCAGAACUGUUGCCAAGGGAGGGGUGACUUUCCUAAUCUCAAUGUGAAGAUCGAUUCAGUUCAAUGAGUUAAUAGACUUGCCUAGCACAAAGAAAGCCCAACAGAACCACUGUUCUUAUUAUUGUUUGCACUAAGUAAUUAAACAUCUUCAAGUAGAUGCUAAAUGGCUUUUGCAGAUAGUGCCCACAAAACGUGAUUGAUAUGUUCUACUUACAGGCAGAACUGGGUAUCAUUCCCCACCCCUACUCCAUCCUCCAUUUCCCUUUCUCAUUUCCAGAUCCUCCCGGCAGCUGUCAGCAUCAGCCAGUCCCUAGACUCAAAUCCCAGCAGCUCGAUGACAAGUUCCGUGGACCUGGGCAAUCUUGGGUCUCAUCUGGAAAAUGGGAAAAGAGAGCAUGGCACCAACAGCAUCACCUUUAGGACAAGCCAGCCUGGAAGCUGUGUUCUGAGGCCAAAGCCACUCAGCCCGCGGUUCUGGGAGAACUCUCUCCUCUUCUACCUCAGCCUUGUAUUCCUUGAAACCAGACUUUAAAGGCCUCUUAUGCCUGUAUUUUCCAUUGUGAGUCAUCUCUAACCUAUUUGGAAACAGUCAGGACAGACUGAGUGAAUGAAUGAAUGGAUGGUAGCAGUCCCUACGUACAUGCCAGGCCCUGUUCUAAGCACCUUAUGGUAUCAACUUCUGUAAGCUUCCCAACAACCCUCUGAGAAGACAUUUCUAGCAUUCCC